rnacentral:rRNA from 1 species
UACGGAGGGUGCAAGCGUUAUCCGGAUUUACUGGGUUUAAAGGGUGUGUAGGCGGGUCUUUAAGUCAGUGGUGAAAUCUCCGAGCUCAACUUGGAAACUGCCAUUGAUACUAUUGAUCUUGAAUUUUGUUGAGGUAGGCGGAAUAAGUCAUGUAGCGGUGAAAUGCAUAGAUAUGACUUAGAACACCAAUUGCGAAGGCAGGUUACUAAGCAACAACUGACGCCGAUGGACGAAAGCGUGGGGAGCGAACAGG